GUGGCUUCAAAUAUGAAGAUCUCCAGAUAGGUUGGCAAGUUGGCAUGGGCAGUACUCUUAAUGUUUCUUUCUUCCUUUGGCUUUAUAUAUCUUAUUAUCUAUUCAACGACAACUAAAAUGAUGAAUGUUAUUGUUUAUUAUUGCAUAGGCUAGACUUGGAAUAACAUUUUGUGCUUUUAUACCAGCUCAUAUACCGUCAUAUAUACCUCUUUUCACGGUACUUUCUCUAGCAGAGGAACACCGCACAAAGUCACUUAUAGGGGAAGAUACUUUAUUAUUUGUUAGCGAACACUGCACCUAUUUAUUUAGUGUUUUAGUGCUAACUUGGCGAGAGCAGGCCCACUUUUCAACGCAUUGUGAACAAAUUGCACCUUCGAAUCUCUCUUUUUCAAUCCCCUCAGCCAGCUCCUUCCUCUUCUCAGCCGUCAGUUGGUGCCACACUCCCUCCUCCUACGUCAGACCGGCGCCGCUCUCUCUUGGUCGCUCUCCCUACCCCUAGCACCAGUGCCAUAAUCCCCUUCCACCUUCUUCACUUGAAGGCAGCUUAGGGUUGACACCGCUCGAUGCCUCAGCCCCGCGCCGGGGAGCGGGGCCGCGUCGCUGCCAGCGCGCGCCGAGGGAAGACGGACCGCAUCACUACACGUGUGCGCCGAGGGGAGCUAGGCCACACUGCCGCCCAAACGCGACGAGGGAAGUCAAGCCACGCUGCCAUAGAGGAGGCUAAGAGGGAGGGCCGGGGUGGUCGCCGGCGGCAAGCGGAAAUGGUGCUGUGGCCAAAGUGUGAGAGGGACUGAGAUGUGGGGGAAGAAAACGAUAAGUGGGCCCGCGGGGGCAUUUUUGACAUUUCACGCUUUUUCUCUCGUAUACAACCAGAAAACAAUAUUUUAAUAUUUGUGGUAUCCAUCAGCAAAUAACCACCUUUUGGGAGUGUAUUUUUCCAAAUAUCAACUUUUGACAUUGUCUAGAGCUAAAACACAAAGUCACGAUGUCCUACAAUAAAAUUUACCUAACUGUUAUGAAUAAAAAAACAAUGUGGCCAUCCCAAAUUGUUGUGUCGGUAGUGUUUGUUUCCAAGAUUUGGUUUCAAUUUGUGUACCCUGUUAGACAAAAAAUUGAUAAUGUACUAAACUCUGGCCAUGGAAAGUGGGUGACUGGUGGUGCUCUAUUUAUACGUGAGUUGCCUAGCUUCUAGCUAUCUACAUAAAUUGCACAUACAUGUUUCUGUUCGAGGUAGAUAAAGACGGAAAAGAGGCACAAGAUAUAUAUAUUUUAUCAUGAAAUUCUAGUACUAUCUAAUAUUUCUUCGUCUUUUCACAGCCUCAGCCAAAUGUGUGGCACGUAGGAAUAGGAGACGGUAGGAAUUUCUGCUGUUCCAUGUUCGAUUCUUCAUUUGGGGAUCUAACAUCAGCGGGAACCUUAAGUCUUCUUCACAUAUCCAUUUGAUGGAUAGAUUGCCGAAGGAAGAAUCGUUAUGGAAUGAUGCAGAUAUGAAACAUGAGCUAAAUUCAAAAUGGUUUAGAUUCAGCCGUCGUCUGGUCAGUCCAUGUCCUCUCAGGCUCUGCUUGGGGGCUCAGGUUAUCAUCAACUCACCGUGCCGUAGUGUACAUCAAGAUAGUACUGUACUGUAACAGUAAUAUCUCGUAAAACUGCUGGGUGAAAGGUGCAGUGAAGUACGUGUGACCGAGUUGAGGACAUUGAAGUUCUUGUACUGACAAUGAGUGAGGACAUUGAAGAAAAUUGCUUCACCUGAGCAGGAGAUUUGUGCGCUGAAAUGUGAUACAGAGGGGAUACCAAUUGCAUGUACUCAGCCUUAUUUACCCAUUUAAGCUUGGCUUACACUCGUAAGAUUACCGAAUUCAUGAGGUUCGCCAUGAUGUUAGGAUUGUGCGUCGCAUAGCUUAAUCCAUUUCAACAAGAUUUAUUAGUGUUACAGAAACUAGAUGGUCUAUAGUACACAUUUAUGCUUUCAGUAAAAGCUGGGGCUUUUGUGCAGAAACAAGAUAGUCUAUGCUCCCUGCAAUCUAAACACUACAGAUUGAAAUUUUCUGACCGUUAGAAAUGUUCAAUUGCACAUCAUGCGAGCAACUGAUUUGUUUGCAAUGUGCAUGUGUCGCCAUUUAUGAACAGACUAAAUUCUGACGCGGUUGUUCUCUUUGACCAUAAAUCUGUUCUGUGAACAAGAAAUAUGAAUUGGUUGAUGAGCUCAUUAAAUCUCUGUAGAUUCCAGCUCAGGAUCGGAGGACCCAUCGGCUGUGGUUCAGAAGUGGGCUCGACCUGCUUUGGGAUGGAAAGAAAAUAAGGCGGAUUACGGGAGUGUGCGACUUGAAUUAUUGAUUUAGCCUUGCAGAUAGAGAGUUGGAUCCGCUUUCCAUUGGUCAUCUAGUCUAAUAGGCAACCCUCGCCUCAGUGAGGAACUUUUGUCCGAGCAUUCUUGUUCUACAAUUAAUCGGAGUGAGGAAACUUAAAAUACUGUACUAUGAAAAAGAGUAAUAGUCGACAGUGAAUAAAUGAGAUGGGCACAUCAGGUUACACGCCUGCCCCGGCUAGCUAAGAGGUCUUUUGCUUAUGAAAUAAAGGGACCGCUUUUCGGAAAGGAAAGAAUGUGCUUAGUGUUUUAGAGCAAGUGAGCGAACAACUACCUUGGGUAUAGUAGGACUUCUCGCAGUAAGGGAAAGCAAGGUGAUACGUGUUGUUAGGAAAAGCUUGGGUGUUGUUUUGUCGGAGCUCACGUGUACGGGGAUAUGUCAUCGAGAAAAAAGGCCAAGAUGGCCAUUUUUCGAAGCUCUACGGCACUUCUGGGUAGGAUUAGGUACUUUGAUACCUAAACGGAAAAUAAAUGUGUUUAAACGCAUUUUUGUGAGCGUAACUAUGGCGAAUAUUAUGAAAAUAUUCUUCAUAAUGCAGACAACCAUGCCGAACAUAAA